rnacentral:misc_RNA from 1 species
UUAAAUAAAAAUCGGUGUUGUUGCUGCCUUUCGUGGUGACGCGUCGGAAUUGAGUCGUCUUAUCCUUCGGCUAAGUGACUUAAAAUUUUAUAUGAUUUUCGAACGUAUUUAAAUUGCUUACGUACGUUUGAGAUAUCGAAUAUUUUAUUAGGUUCGAUCAUCUCUAUGACUCGCGCCUAUAAUUUUUUCAUU